GGGGUAGCAAUACCCAGUGGCGCACGGGUGCGUAACGCGUAGGCAAUCUGCCUAUCUCUGGGGGAUAGCCCGCCGAAAGGUGGAUUAAUACCGCAUAACACUGCAGAGUGGCAUCACUCAACAGUUAAAGAAUUUCGGAGAUAGAUGAGCCUGCGUGCCAUUAGCUAGUUGGUGCGGUAACGGCGCACCAAGGCGACGAUGGCUAGGGGAGCUGAGAGGCCGAUCCCCCACACUGGCACUGAGAUACGGGCCAGACUCCUACGGGAGGCAGCAGUAGGGAAUAUUGGGCAAUGGGCGCGAGCCUGACCCAGCCAUGCCGCGUGACGGAUGAAGGCCUUCUGGGUUGUAAACGUCUUUUGACCGGGAAGAAAAAGCCCUUGCGAGGGAAAUCGACGGUACCGGUUGAAUAAGCACCGGCUAACUCCGUGCCAGCAGCCGCGGUAAUACGGAGGGUGCGAGCGUUGUCCGGAUUUAUUGGGUUUAAAGGGUGCGUAGGUGGCCCUGCAAGUCCGUGGUGAAAGCCCGCUGCUCAACAGCAGAACUGCCAUGGAUACUACAGGGCUUGAGUCCAGACGAGGUUGGCGGAAUGGAUGGUGUAGCGGUGAAAUGCAUAGAUACCAUCCAGAACCCCGAUUGCGUAGGCAGCUGACUAGGCUGGUACUGACACUG
rnacentral:rRNA from 1 species